rnacentral:snRNA from 1 species
UGGCACUCCACAAGCCAUUAU